GGUAGGCGGAAUGAGUAAUGUAGCGGUGAAAUGCUUAGAUAUUACUCAGAACACCGAUUGCGUAGGCAGCUUACCAAACCGACACCGACGNUGAGGCACGAAAGCGUGGGGAGCGAACAGGAUUAGAUACCCUGGUAGUCCACGCCGUAAACGUUGAUUACUCGUUGUUGGCAAUACAUCGUCAGCGACUGAGCGAAAGCAUUAAGUAAUCCACCUGGGGAGUACGUCAGCAAUGAUGAAACUCAAAGGAAUUGACGGGGGCCCGCACAAGCGGAGGAACAUGUGGUUUAAUUCGAUGAUACGCGAGGAACCUUACCUGGGCUUAAAUGUAGAGUGCAUAGAGUGGAAACAUUCUUUUCCUUCGGGACCCUUUACAAGGUGCUGCAUGGUUGUCGUCAGCUCGUGCCGUGAGGUGUCGGGUUAAGUCCCAUAACGAGCGCAACCCUCAUCGCCAGUUGCCAUCACAUCAUGGUGGGGACUCUGGUGAAACUGCCGGUGCAAACCGUGAGGAAGGUGAGGAUGACGUCAAAUCAGCACGGCCCUUAUGUCCAGGGCUACACACGUAUUACAAUGGUCGGUACAACGGGCAGCUACACAGCGAUGUGGUGCUAAUCCCAAAAACCGAUCUUAGUUCGGAUCGGAGUCUGCAACUCGACUCCGUGAAGCUGGAUUCGCUAGUAAUCGCACANCAGCCAGGUCGGUG
rnacentral:rRNA from 1 species